AAACAAGCCCUUUCUCAGGAGGCUAGGACUGGGCAAGGAAGGGCCAUCAGUCGGACAGCGGCUGCUACAGCUGCGGUCCGCCUUCCACGAACACAUGCUGGUGUGGUGAUAGAUGCGUCGGCAGGUGAUGGAGUUGGAGAAGUAGCUGGUGGGAUCCUGACUACCAGUUGUGGUUGCAUAUCAAGUUGGAACAUGUACGUUGAGAUGGAAGAAUCAGCGACUUAGUAAAACUAUUGCCGCAUGAACAUUCUUGUGCUGCACGGACGUGAUUCACCUUAUCUUCUCAUUAUUUGCAGUAGAAAAGUGUCAAACAAGUGGAUGAGCUCUGAGGUAAAAAUAAUAAUUCAAAUGUCAACACUUUUGAAUUUUUUU
rnacentral:lncRNA from 1 species